rnacentral:rRNA from 1 species
GACGAACGCUGGCGGCGUGCUUAACACAUGCAAGUCGAGCGGUAAGGCCCUUUCGGGGGUACACGAGCGGCGAACGGGUGAGUAACACGUGGGUGACCUGCCCUCAGCUCUGGGAUAAGCCUGGGAAACUGGGUCUAAUACUGGAUAUGACUCCACGGUGCAUGUCGUGGGGUGGAAAGCCUUGUGCGGCUGAGGAUGGGCCCGCGGCCUAUCAGCUUGUUGGUGGGGUGANGGCCUACCAAGGCGACGACGGGUAGCCGGCCUGAGAGGGCGACCGGCCACACUGGGACUGAGACACGGGCCCAGACUCCUACGGGAGGCAGCAGUGGGGAAUCUUGCGCAAUGGGCGAAAGCCUGACGCAGCGACGCCGCGUGAGGGAUGACGGCCCUCGGGUUGUAAACCUCUUUCAGCUCCGACGAAGCGGAAGUGACGGUAGGAGCAGAAGAAGCA